CUGGUGCCCACUUUUCUAGAAAAUAUGGAAGGAUCUACUCCAGCAGCUGGAUGCGCCAGGCUUCCCACCAUGCACGCAUGCCCUGUCUGGCUCCAUCCCUU